rnacentral:rRNA from 1 species
UACGUAGGGGGCAAGCGUUGUCCGGAAUCAUUGGGCGUAAAGAGCGUGUAGGCGGCUCGAUAAGUCUGCUGUGAAAGUCCAGGGCUCAACCCUGGAAGGCCGGUGGAAACUGUCGGGCUAGAGUCCGGAAGAGGCGAGUGGAAUUCCCGGUGUAGCGGUGAAAUGCGUAGAUAUCCGGAGGAAUACCAAAGGCGAAGGCAGUGUCCUGGGAAGUACCUGACGCUGAGGCGCGAAAGCCAGGGGAGCGAACAGG